UACGUAGGGACCAAGCGUUGUUCGGAUUUACUGGGCGUAAAGGGCGCGUAGGCGGCGCGGUAAGUCGGGUGUGAAAUUUCGGAGCUUAACUCCGAAACUGCAUUUGAUACUGGCGUGCUUGAGGACUGGAGAGGAGACUGGAAUUCAUGGUGUAGCAGUGAAAUGCGUAGAGAUCAUGAGGAAGACCAGUGGCGAAGGCGGGUCUCUGGACAGUUCCUGACACUGAGGCACGAAGGCCAGGGGAGCAAACGGG
rnacentral:rRNA from 1 species